rnacentral:rRNA from 1 species
AGUGAACGCUGGCGGUAGGCCUAACACAUGCAAGUCGAACGGCAGCACAGUAAGAGCUUGUUCUUACGGGUGGCGAGUGGCGGACGGGUGAGGAAUACAUCGGAAUCUACUUUUUCGUGGGGGAUAACGUAGGGAAACUUACGCUAAUACCGCAUACGACCUACGGGUGAAAGCAGGGGAUCUUCGGACCUUGCGCGUUUGAAUGAGCCGAUGUCGGAUUAGCCAGUUGGCGGGGUAAAGGCCCACCAAGGCGACGAUCCGUAGCUGGUCUGAGAGGAUGAUCAGCCACACUGGAACUGAGACACGGUCCAGACUCCUACGGGAGGCAGCAGUGGGGAAUAUUGGACAAUGGGCGCAAGCCUGAUCCAGCCAUACCGCGUGGGUGAAGAAGGCCUUCGGGUUGUAAAGCCCUUUUGUUGGGAAAGAAAAGCAGCAGGUUAAUACCCCGCUGUUCUGACGGUACCCAAAGAAUAAGCACCGGCUAACUUCGUG